rnacentral:rRNA from 1 species
UACAGAGGUCUCAAGCGUUGUUCGGAUUCAUUGGGCGUAAAGGGUGCGUAGGCGGCGCGGUAAGUCGGGUGUGAAAUCUCGGAGCUUAACUCCGAAACUGCAUUCGAUACUGCCGUGCUUGAGGACUGGAGAGGAGACUGGAAUUUACGGUGUAGCGGUGAAAUGCGUAGAUAUCGUAAGGAAGACCAGUGGCGAAGGCGGGUCUCGUGGACAGUUCCUGACACUGAGGCACGAAGGCCCAGGGGGAGCAAAACGGGG